UCCUGGCUAGGACGAACGCUGGCGGCGUGCCUAAUACAUGCAAGUCGAACGGUCUUUUCUAUGGAAGCUUGCUUCCACUGAGAAGAUAGUGGCGAACGGGUGAGUAACACGUGGGUAACCUGCCCAUAAGAGGGGGGAUAACAUCCGGAAACGGGUGCUAAUACCGCAUAGUUUUCUUGAUCGCAUGAUCGGGAAAGGAAAGACGGCCUUUGUGCUGUCGCUUAUGGAUGGACCCGCGGCGUAUUAGUUAGUUGGUGAGGUAACGGCUCACCAAGACGAUGAUACGUAGCCGACCUGAGAGGGUGAUCGGCCACAUUGGGACUGAGACACGGCCCAAACUCCUACGGGAGGCAGCAGUAGGGAAUCUUCCGCAAUGGACGAAAGUCUGACGGAGCAACGCCGCGUGAGUGAAAGAAGGUUUUCGGAUCGUAAAACUCUGUUGUCAGAGAAGAACAAGUUGGAGAGUAACUGCUCCAGCCUUGACGGUAUCUGACCAGAAAGCCACGGCUAACUACGUGCCAGCCGCCGC
rnacentral:rRNA from 1 species